AGAGCCUGGGGGAAGAGCCUAGCCUUCUGAGUUUUAACCAGCCCUCCCUUUGACAUGUGCUCAAACCCAGGACCCACCGAUCUAGAGGCUUUUUUGCCAUGAUCCUUAUAAGGCCCAUGGAAGAAGCUUGGUGAAUCAUCACAAGUUCAAAGUCCCAUUUACAAGACUGCUUCUCUGGUGGCGUAGA
rnacentral:lncRNA from 1 species